GGUGGUCGUAGCUCAAGAGUAGAGCAUCAGCCUGUGGAGCUGAGGGUUGCGGGUGCAAGUCCCGUCGAUCACCCCCA
rnacentral:tRNA from 1 species